rnacentral:lncRNA from 1 species
CCAUGUUUGCAGUGAACUUCAUUCGCGGGACUCAGCACUAUGUGCAGGAAGCAUAGUUCUACAUGCAUACGGCGUUGCUCCUCCCUUUCCGUAUCGAGAUACGUGCAUGCAAAGACGUAUUGCUACCUCUGCAAAGACGCUUCUACAGUUUUGACCUCUGUUUUGGCGAGGAUUUGCAUGCUCACAGAAAGAGGCCGCUUGCUGUGCUGUUGGUCCGCCUGGCAAGAAACAGAACAGUCACUCGGGCCGUUGCGAAAGCGGCGUCUCGCAGUAUCCGCCAGUCUUUGACCAGGCUCCUCACUCGAUUUGCUUUUGAUGUUUUCUCAGGAAAUGUGCAACCUGAGAUUUCCAGUUUGGAAGCAACGCGUUUUUUUUUCUGCGGCUCAGUCUCUCACGACGUUUCUUCUUGAAGAGUUUAAGCGAGUGUCAAGCGAGAACCGGAAGAGAAAUGCGUUGUUUUUUUCUUUUUUGCCUUGUCUUAGAGAGGCGAGAGACGCCUCUGGCGUCUGUGCUGUUGACGCAUCUCACGUCUCCUCCACUGGCCUUUCGUUGGACCGUUCUACGCUGCGAAGCGACGAAUCGGUUUUCUGCUCGGCCACCGCUUUCUGGGGAAUAUUGUGCAUGCGAAGAGCGUGAGGACCGCUUGGGGAUAGUGCGUUUUAGGUUUCAAGUGUGUGCUUGCUCGUGACCGACGCUAAAUGUCUAUCGGACGGACUGGGCAGAACCUGAUUACAAGCAGGCUGUGGUGUGGCGGAGAUCUAGGGAGACGGAGAGAAACUCUGGAAGCUGUUUUUUCUCAUCCGGGCGUCUCUUUCCUCUGUCUGAGCGGGAACACCGUGUUCGGCUGUAGAGACC